rnacentral:rRNA from 1 species
AUUGAACGCUGGCGGCAGGCCUAACACAUGCAAGUCGAGCGGAUGAAGGGAGCUUGCUCCUGGAUUCAGCGGCGGACGGGUGAGUAAUGCCUAGGAAUCUGCCUGGUAGUGGGGGAUAACAUCCGGAAACGGGCGCUAAUACCGCAUACGUCCUGAGGGAGAAAGUGGGGGAUCUUCGGACCUCACGCUAUCAGAUGAGCCUAGGUCGGAUUAGCUAGUUGGUGGGGUAAAGGCCUACCAAGGCGACGAUCCGUAACUGGUCUGAGAGGAUGAUCAGUCACACUGGAACUGAGACACGGUCCAGACUCCUACGGGAGGCAGCAGUGGGGAAUAUUGGACAAUGGGCGAAAGCCUGAUCCAGCCAUGCCGCGUGUGUGAAGAAGGUCUUCGGAUUGUAAAGCACUUUAAGUUGGGAGGAAGGGCAGUAAGUUAAUACCUUGCUGUUUUGACGUUACCAGCAGAAUAAGCACCGGCUAACUUCGUG